UUGUCAUUCAACAGCAUCACCUUCAGUCUAUCCUGGUGGUAUUUGAGUCACAUAUACAUGGCCAGCGCUGUUCAUCCCCCGCCGAAAUGCUUUGACCCGGACAGUUGUUGUUCUGCGCGUUGGCUUGUUUUAGUGGAAGACGCAUCAAGCAAGCAAGGGUUGGCUUUAUUCUGCUGGACAGACACUUGAAUGAUGUUGAACCCCUGCCCGGAUGAAACCUCUCUCCUGAAUGACACAAUUGAUCAGUCACGCUCACCCAUCCUCAGCUACAGUGCUGCCACAUUCCAUCAACAUGGCGGGAAGUAUUCUCCUCACCAAAGAGCUCAACACUGGAAAUUGACACAAUGUUGCAAUUGCAACAUCAACUACGCAAUUACCUAACUAACUACACUAACUACCUUUUUUUAUGUAGCGGUUGUUAUUGCUGUAGCCUAUACAUUUUCAUUUUUUCACACCUGUCACUAAUCCUGAUGUGUCCCAGAAACAUUGAUUUUGUUGUAAAUUUCUAUUUACUUACAUUUCAUUUGAACAUGUUUGUGUUUUUUGAGCAAAUUGUUGUUAUUAUAAUGUAUCAUUUUAUAUCUGGACGUGGUCCAAUUUGUACAACUCAGAGCAGGUUAUUGUCUCGUUGUCAAAAUGUGGUAUAAGCACAUUCAUAAUUUUUUUUUUUACAAUACCUCAUAUUAAUGGCACUUUACUUAAGGUGUCUGUGCGCACUGUGCAUAUGACAUGGUUUUGACACCUAGGAUUUCAAUCAAUGUAAUAAUGUGGUUGUGACAUAGAGGUUGGUAAAUUAAAUAACACCCUGUUAUAAAAUAUUGUAUGUAGACUUAUGUAGAAUGUAAUAACAUAUGACAAAAGUUGUCAUGCAGACUAUGUAAUAGCAGUCGUUAAUAACGGUUGAUAUUAGAGCAUAUGAUAACAGGACGAACAGUCAUCUAUAAUGCAAAUGUUAACUAGUUUUAUA